rnacentral:rRNA from 1 species
CACGUAGGGGCCAAGCGUUGUCCGGAUUCAUUGGGCGUAAAGAGCUCGUAGGCGGUUCAGUCAGUCGGGUGUGAAAUCUCCGGGCUCAACCCGGAGGGGCCACCCGAUACUGCUGUGACUCGAGUCCGGUAGGGGAGUGGGGAAUUCCUGGUGUGAGCGGUGAAAUGACGCAGAUAUCAGGAGGAACACCGGUGGCGAAGGCGCCACUCUGGGCCGGUACUGACGCUGAGGAGCGAAAGCGUGGGUAGCAAACAGG